rnacentral:rRNA from 1 species
UACGUAGGGACCGAGCGUUGUCCGGAUUUAUUGGGCGUAAAGAGCUCGUAGGCGGCUUGUCGCGUCGUCCGUGAAAACCCGCGGCUCAACUGUGGGCUUGCAGUCGAUACGGGCAGGCUGGAGUUGGUGAGGGAGGAGUGAAUUCCUGGUGUAGCGGUGAAAUGCGCAGAUAUCAGGAGGAACACCGGUGGCGAAGGCGGCUCUCUGGUACGUGACUGACGCUGAGACGCGAAAGCGUGGGGGAGCAAACAGG